rnacentral:lncRNA from 1 species
GUGGAGGGUGCGAUAGAUGAUAGCAACAUUCGUAACCGUCUGGCAGUGGGCCAUUUGGGGCCAGGAAGAGUUUGUUAUGAAGAGCAGUAGAGUGGAAUCGUGGCCGUCACCGUGAUCUGCCACGUGGAGUCUGUUGCAAGGAGCGAAGCGGCACCCGUUGUCGUGACUUGCCAGAGGGUGGAGGAGUCACGCGAUAUCCGUCGC